rnacentral:lncRNA from 1 species
CGCAAAGUGCCUCCUUACCCUAAAGAGGCUUCGUCUUCACAAGCAGUCACAAGUUCACGUACUGCCCACCCUCAAGGAAGAAGCAAGGGAGGCAGCCAACAGAGCAGUGCCUUCUGUCAGAUUGCCACCAUAUGCCAGUGGCUCCUGAGGGCAGGAAACCCCUGAAGCCCAGCGCCAGGCAGCACACCCUCUUUGUGAAGGAUGUCCAACAUCAGGACAGGAAAUGUGCUUCCACUGCCUGCAGGAGGAGCAAAGAAUCUUCUGGGCUUCUGUGGCUGCAGAUAUACGAAGGAAAGAAAAGGAAGAAAGAAUGAGAUGGCAAAAGAGGUGGAAAGCAAUAUAAAAUGGAAGUGGCAUUCAAAGAAAGAGCAUGCUAUCCUUUGU